rnacentral:rRNA from 1 species
UACGUAGGGGGCGAGCGUUGUCCGGAAUCAUUGGGCGUAAAGCGCGUGUAGGCGGCCCGGUAAGUCCGCUGUGAAAGUCCAGGGCUCAACCCUGGGAUGCCGGUGGAUACUGUCGGGCUCGAGUCCGGAAGAGGCGAGUGGAAUUCCUGGUGUAGCGGUGAAAUGCGUAGAUAUCUGGAGGAACACCGGUGGCGAAGGCGACAUCCUGGACCGGUAUUGACGCUGAGGCGCGAAAGCCAGGGGAGCAAACGGG